GGACAGCCUGCUCCCAGUCAUCUAAUGAUAAAGUCAGGUUGAACAAAAGCAGAUUAGAAAUUGUGUAGUGUUUUUGUAAAUGUAUGGAUGUACUGGUACAUUACCUAAUAGGUACAAGUCUCGUAAAUCCAUAUUUAGCAG